UACGGAAGGCAGCAGGGGGGAAUAUUGCACAAUGGGCGCAAGCCUGAUGCAGCCAUGCCGCGUGUAUGAAGAAGGCCUUCGGGUUGUAAAGUACUUUCAGUCGUGAGGAAGGUGUUAAGGUUAAUAACCUUAGCAAUUGACGUUAGCGACAGAAGAAGCACCGGCUAACUCCGUGCCAGCAGCCGCGGUAAUACGGAGGGUGCGAGCGUUAAUCGGAAUUACUGGGCGUAAAGGGCACGCAGGCGGUUAAUUAAGUUGGAUGUGAAAUCCCCGGGCUUAACCUGGGAAUGGCAUUCAAGACUGGUUAGCUAGAGUCUUGUAGAGGGGGUAGAAUUCCAUGUGUAGCGGUGAAAUGCGUAGAGAUGUGGAGGAAUACCGGUGGCGAAGGCGGCCCCUGGGACAAAGGACUGACGCUCAUGUGCGAAAGCGUGGGGAGCAAACAGGGAUUAGAUACCCGU
rnacentral:rRNA from 1 species